AUGGAGUCCUUCAUGGCAUCAGAAUUCUUCCAUGGAUCUCGUGUGGCUGCUCUGGUGAGUCGCCAUUUCAAUUCCUCGGUCCGUUGGAUCUCUCUCCCAUCCUUAGACCGUGCUAAUUCAUUUCUAUUCGGCGAGUUUUCGAUCAAUGGCCUCAACCUUCUCUACUUGUUUGGGUGGAGAUGCUUAUUCCAAGAUUUACUCAAUGGAGGAUGCAUGUUAGGCUUAGAAGCUAAGAAUGGGCUAGGAGCCAAUGUCGAAGAGCGGGGACAUGGGAUUGGUAGAUUUUUGUGGUCCAGUACGGAGGAGGGGUUGGAGGAUGAGGAUGACGAGACCCGUAUGGAGGUCCUGGAGAAGGGGAGUGGGGCAUGGGCACGAGUCUUGCCGACGCUUGUGUUGCUUCCAGUCGUCCCCUCUAAUAUUUCCCCGCCCGUGGUCUCAGUGGUUCAGUGGCGGUGGUUCGCCGGCUUCGCCACCACCAUUGGUUUCAUUACGUCUCGCUCCGACACCUCCCUCUUUAUUCUCCUGCAGGACAGCGGCGUCGCCUACCUGUUGCUAUAUGUCGACAAUAUUGUCCUGACCAGCCUCCUCCUCUUCGGCUUUCCUCGCUCCGCGGAAGAUGGCACCAUUAAGAUCAUAGUGUUCUCGGGCUGGAGCGAAGUCGCUUCUCCUUUCAUCAUCCCAGCCAUGUCCACAGAUACAAAAACGUACACAAUUUUUUGGCGGAGAGAUCGGACACGCAUCAACACAAAAAAAUGCAAGCACCAGCAUCAAGUCUACAACUUGAAUCAUUGUGGGUUGCGACAUAACCAUCUGACCUAUGCUCAGUUCGUGACAUAG
rnacentral:rRNA from 1 species